rnacentral:rRNA from 1 species
GAUGAACGCUAGCGGCAGGCUUAAUACAUGCAAGUCGAGGGGCAGCAGCUUUAUAGCAAUAUAGAGGCUGGCGACCGGCAAACGGGUGCGGAACACGUACACAACCUUCCUUUAAGAGGGGGAUAGCCCAUAGAAAUGUGGAUUAAUACCCCGUAACAUAUCGGUGUGGCAUCACACUGUUAUUAUAGUUUCGACGCUUGAAGAUGGGUGUGCGGCUGAUUAGGUAGUUGGCGGGGUAAAGGCCCACCAAGCCUUCGAUCAGUAGCUGAUGUGAGAGCAUGAUCAGCCACACGGGCACUGAGACACGGGCCCGACUCCUACGGGAGGCAGCAGUAAGGAAUAUUGGUCAAUGGACGCAAGUCUGAACCAGCCAUGCCGCGUGAAGGAUGAAGGUCCUCUGGAUUGUAAACUUCUUUUAUAGGGGGCGAAAAAAGGGAAUUCUUUCUCACUUGACAGUACCCUAUGAAUAAGCACCGGCUAACUCCGUGCCAGCAGCCGCGGUAA